rnacentral:lncRNA from 1 species
AUGCGCAGCGCAGAUAAGGACUCGGGGCGGGACGACCGUGCGGUUUGUUCCCAGCGGUCGCUGUCGGUGCUGGGGGGGACACCGGGGCCGUCCCCAUCCUUCGGCGAUGGGCUGACAUUGAGCACCGCUCCCCCGGCGAGGCUUUCCCCAUCCCAACCCUGUCGGCUGUGGGUUUACCCAGGCUGCGCUCCGGGUAUAGCAUCCCUAUGGGGAGCGGGAUGGCCCCUGCCCCGCUCUGGCGGCACCAGGAUGGAUUUUCCACACAAACAGGAUAUGGUGGGGCUGCUGCUUCUUCCCGGAAAGCAGAGAUGGGGCUGGGAGUGGGAACGUGCCCGUGGCUGCUUCUCAGCGCUGCUGAGGGGCUGCGGGGGUCGUUCCUUGUCCUGCAGAGAGCAAGGAGCAGCUCCAAUGCCAACCAGUGGGGCUGCGUGCAGCCAGCACUGCCAAUGGGGUGCUGGGCAGGGGGUCGGGGUCCCAGCACCACUGGGGUCUUGGAGCCACCUUCACCCUCCAGCUGGAUACGGCUCCAAUUCCAUCUGCCUCCCAUCUCCCCAGUGCUGCUGUUGUGCUCUCCCUGCUGCAAACGAGGCGCUGCUGCGGCCCUUUGUACGACCCCCACCCUGCAGGGGGGUCCUGGGAUGGGUCCACCACCGGGGGGGGGGGCUGCAGGCCGGCAAUCGGGAGCAGCUGCGUUUUGUCCUCCGGGCUCCACCAUCACAGCGCUCAGUUCAAGCGCUACCGACCGCCGGGACGCGCAGCAGGGAGGCACCCAGCAAAGAGCAGCUCUUACCUCACAGCAACAAAACCUGGUGGGCGGUGGGUGCUGCUGGCACGCAGAGGGGGCGGUGGGUGCCACCCCCCCACCCAAACACCCACCCUGCCGGCUGGGAGCAGCGGAGGCAGCUCGGUGGGGAGCGGCCGUCCCGGUGCCGCGGGGCAGUUCGCCUUUGGCACGCUCUGCGCUCCCGGCGCUGCCAAACUGGUUUUUCUCCCCCCCACCGUCUCCGUGCUGCGUUUCCCCGCUGUCAGCACGGAGGGGAACCGACCUGCUGUGCCGGUGCAGGACGGUGGUGGGAGCCCCAUCCCGUGGCUUUGCCCCCCCCCCUCCGGUGCUGGUCACGCUGA